GUAGGGAAUAUUGGGCAAUGGUCGGAAGACUGACCCAGCCAUGCCGCGUGCAGGAAGACGGCCCUCUGGGUUGUAAACUGCUUUUAUCUGGGAAGAAAAAGGCCAUGCGUGGCAAAUUGCCGGUACCAGAUGAAUAAGCACCGGCUAACUCCGUGCCAGCAGCCGCGGUAAUACGGAGGGUGCGAGCGUUGUCCGGAUUUAUUGGGUUUAAAGGGUGCGUAGGCGGCUGAUUAAGUCAGCGGUGAAAGACUUCGGCUUAACCGGAGCAGUGCCGUUGAUACUGGUGGGCUUGAGUGUCGGAGGGGUACAUGGAAUUGAUGGUGUAGCGGUGAAAUGCAUAGAUACCAUCAGGAACACCGAUAGCGAAGGCAUUGUACUGGCCGACAACUGACGCUGAUGCACGAAAGUGUGGGGAUCGAACAGGAUUAGAAACCCGGGUAGUCC
rnacentral:rRNA from 1 species